GCGGGUAUAAAGGCAAUGUAACAAAAUCUAAGCCUCUCUUAGUCCACAGAUCCUGGAGAGCAAGGGAGCUGACACCUGCAGGAUCACUCCAGGUCCAGGACCUGUUCCCAGGCCAAGCCAACCACUCGUGCCUCAGCGGUUCAAGAGACUGAAGACCCUCAGGGGGCGCUUGUCGGAGCCAGAGAGUCUAUUCGCUCCUUAGCCCUAGGACACCGCGGCGCGCUCAAAGCUCCUGCACUCCUUCACCCACCUCACCUCCGUAGAUGCA
rnacentral:lncRNA from 1 species